UACGUAGGGGGCAAGCGUUGUCCGGAUUUAUUGGGCGUAAAGAGCUCGUAGGUGGUUUGUCGCGUUGUUCGUGAAAACCGGGGGCUUAACCCUCGGCGUGCGGGCGAUACGGGCAGACUUGAGUACUGCAGGGGAGACUGGAAUUCCUGGUGUAGCGGUGGAAUGCGCAGAUAUCAGGAGGAACACCGGUGGCGAAGGCGGGUCUCUGGGCAGUAACUGACGCUGAGGAGCGAAAGCGUGGGUAGCGAACAGG
rnacentral:rRNA from 1 species